GUGGUAUAGUGGUUAAGCAUUUGGCUGCUAACUGAAAGGUUGGUGGUUCAAACCCACCC
rnacentral:tRNA from 1 species